UCCAAAAUCUGUUUAUCUUUGGCCCACGUUACAUGUCUAUAGACAAUUUUUUUCAAAAAAAUUGCACGAAGGACAUUACCGAAGGAAUCUUGUUUACUUUGUGAAAGAUGAAUAAUAAUCAAGUGAGAGGACCAUAUCGUCUUUGGUGAAAAAGAUCCAUCAAAGGAGUAGUGAGGGACAUUCCAAGGACGACGGUGUUUAACUGGAAACGUCAAGGAAUACACAGUAUAAGGACUUAUGAACAAAAUGAAUAUGCGCAUGGUGAACCUCAGUUAGGUGGUUAAGAGCUUGGAAAUUGUUCUUUCAAUGAACCUUUAUCUUCUCAAAAUCCCUCGAGAUCACAAGAAAGAGAAGAAAUUCAAAAUGUUCCAAGCACAGAUGAGGAUGACGAGGAACAGGUGUCUGAC